GACGAACGCUGGCGGCGUGCUUAACACAUGCAAGUCGAACGGAAAGGCCCUGCUUUUGUGGGGUGCUCGAGUGGCGAACGGGUGAGUAACACGUGAGUAACCUGCCCUUGACUUUGGGAUAACUUCAGGAAACUGGGGCUAAUACCGGAUAGGAGCUCCUGCUGCAUGGUGGGGGUUGGAAAGUUUCGGCGGUUGGGGAUGGUCUCGCGGCUUAUCAGCUUGUUGGUGGGGUAGUGGCUUACCAAGGCUUUGACGGGUAGCCGGCCUGAGAGGGUGGCCGGCGACAUUGGGACUGAGAGACGGACCAGAAGCCUACGGGAGGCAGCAGUGGGGAACAUGGCGCAGUGGGCGGAAGCCUGAGGCAGCAACGCCGCGUGCGGGAUGACGGCCUUCGGGUUGUAAACCGCUUUCGCCUGUGACGAAGCGUGAGUGACGGUAAUGGGUAAAGAAGCACCGGCUAACUACGUG
rnacentral:rRNA from 1 species